rnacentral:tRNA from 1 species
GGGGAUAUAGCUCAGUUGGUAGAGUGCUUGCCUAGCAUACACAUGGACCUGGGUUCAAUCCCCAGCACCACCA